GGUACACAAUUGUCCAGCAUCUCCACACUGUCCCAUGGAAGCGUUCAACUGUCCAUCUCCCAAACACGGGAGAGAAAGAGGAAGAACCCGCCUACCAACUCGCGAUCCCUGGCCCUGAAUGCCAGCAUUUCAAAAUUCCUGGCCUUUGAAAUGCUGUCAUUCCGUCUAGUGGAGACGGACAAUUUUAAAAUCCUGAUGACAUUAUUGGACUGCAAAAAUGCACCGCAGGCCGCAAAUGUUUCUUUUUUUAUAUGUACCAAUAUUUUGGGGGCUACCCCAAUUAUAUAAAAUAAACAGUGUUGGCUACUUCCUCC